UCGCAGCGUCAUUCGGCGAACGUUGUGGUGUAUGGAGCUCCUUGCUGAUUGUUUCGCAUUAUAUACACUCAGUGGACUCAGUGGCUUAAAGGGUGCUGCGAAGCACUGGGACACACUGUACUGCGUUUCCAGAACAUCCCAUUGCGCCGAAAGAUAUUGGCAAUACUGUACAGUCGUGAAAAACCGCGAUGUGCUAACGGCAGUGUGACCGAAGGUUGGAUGUGUUACGGCGGUGAUACAGAGCCGUGCUACCGCCGUGAUACUACUACGAUAACAAAUCUCAAACAUGCGAAUUUCUUGGAUAUCUGGGGUGCAGUGGCAACAGAAACAACUAUCGUUCUUAUUCUCUUGCAUAGAUGAAUGCAGACGGGCCAAUCUAUCACCAAAAGCUAUGGAACGCGUAAGCCGUGUUAACUGCAGCACAGACUACGAUCCAGCGAAGGACAAUGGCACAGUGACCCGGUACUACUACAACAGUAGUUCAACUGAAUGCGUUAGUGUACUGGUUAAGAAACCUGAUGACUAUUUUCCAGCAAGGGAUUACUGCGAGCAAAAAUGCAAUGCAACUAGGAACCCCCUUCCACAGUGCACGGAGG
rnacentral:misc_RNA from 1 species